rnacentral:rRNA from 1 species
CACGUAGGGGGGCGAGCGUUUGUCCGGAUUUAUUGGGCGUAAAGAGCUCGUAGGCGGUUUCGUAAGUCGGAUGUGAAAACUCCAGCUCAACUUGGAGACGCCAUUCGAUACUGCGAUGACUUGAGUCCGGUAGGGGAGUGUGGAAUUCCUGGUGUAGCGGUGAAAUGCGUAGAUAUUGGGAGGAACACCAGUGGCGAAGGCGGUCCCCUGGGCCGGAACUGACGCUGAGGCGCGAAAGCGUGGGUAGCAAACGGG